UUGAUAUCAUGAUGGAAGCAUCUCAUUUUCAGAUUUCAAACUUUUAGAUAUGCAGAAUCUCUAUCAAAAGAGCCAGUAUCUUGGAGGUUCUGCUGUGAAGAUAUUUUGACGAUGUGAAGUCACUCCUUAAUCCACUGACUGAGUUAAUCAAAACGAUUUUGGUGGCUCUGCCUAAUUAAGAAAGACUGAAGAGAAAAAAGUAGACAAAGGUCUUCAUGAUUCUGAGAGGAAGUUUUUCUAUGUAAGGAAGCUGUCAGAGGAUUUGCUCCAUCCCAAUCAGGACUUAAAUCAGGAGAAGAGAAAUAUUCAACAAAGCUCCAGUAUAUGAGGAUGGACAGGAAAUACCCAGAUGAUGGCUUACUGCAGCCUGUAAACUGUCUAGUUUGGGAUAAGAGGCCUUGAGGGUUCAGGAGAUAUGUAUUUUUUUUUUAACUGAUGAUAUAUUACCUGAAAAUAUCUAUCAUCAUAUUGAGUAUUGAUAGAAGUUCAGAAUAAAAUCAUUUGGUAGGUAUACAGGAAACAGAAAAAGUAUUGCCCUUAUGUUAACUUAAUAGAGAAAAUAAAACCAAGGAGUUGAAGAAAAUGGAGAGAUA